GAUGAACGCUGGCGGCGUGCCUAAUACAUGCAAGUCGAGCGAACAGACGAGGAGCUUGCUCCUCUGACGUUAGCGGCGGACGGGAGAGAAACACGUGUAUACCCUCCUUAACAGACUGGGAUAACUUCGGGAAACCGGGUCUAAUCCCGGAUAAUAUAUUGCACCGCAUGGUUCAAUGGUGAAAGUCGGUUUUGCUGUCACUACUCGCUGGUUCCGCGCCGCAUUGUCUGGUUGGUAAGGUAACGGCUUACCAAGGCAAGUAGGCGUGACCGACCUGAGGGGGGGAUAGCCCACCUGGGAACGUGGACACGGUCCAUACUCCUACGGGAGGCAGCAGUAGGGAACCUGCCGCAAUGGGCGAAAGUCUGACGGAGCAGCGCGGCGUGAGUGAUGAAGGUCUUGGGAUCGUAAAACUCGGUUAUUAGGGAAGAACAAAUGUGUAAGUAACUAUGCACGUCUUGACGGUACCUAAUCAGAAAGCCACGGCUAACUACGUG
rnacentral:rRNA from 1 species